rnacentral:rRNA from 1 species
GAUGAACGCUAGCGGCAGGCUUAACACAUGCAAGUCGAGGGGCAGCAUGACACGGAGAUUCGUCGAAGUGUUGAUGGCGACCGGCGCAAGGGUGCGUAACGCGUGAGCAACUUGCCCGUUUCAGGGGGAUAACCGGUGGAAACGCCGACUAAUACCCCAUAGUAUUGAAUUUAGGCAUCUUUAUUCAAUUAAAGAAUUUCGGAAACGGAUAGGCUCGCGUGACAUUAGCUAGAUGGCGGGGUAACGGCCCACCAUGGCGACGAUGUCUAGGGGUUCUGAGAGGAAGGUCCCCCACACUGGAACUGAGACACGGUCCAGACUCCUACGGGAGGCAGCAGUGAGGAAUAUUGGUCAAUGGUCUGACGACUGAACCAGCCAUGCCGCGUGAAGGUGACGGCCCUAUGGGUCUUAAACUUCUUUUGUAAGGGAGCAAUAAGGUCUACGUGUAGGCUGAUGAGAGUACCUUACGAAUAAGCAUCGGCUAACUCCGUGCCAG